GGCUUGGAGCCUGAUGCAGGGCUUGAUCCUAUCACCCUGGGAUCAUGAUCUGAGCCGAAAUCAAGGGUCGAAUGCUCAACCGACGGAGCCCCCUAGGAGCCUCCCUAUAUGCUUCUUUUUAAACACUGGGAUUUAUUAAGAAAGGAAGCUUCAUAUCCCUAAGUACAUGGAAGUCGAUCAUCAAUGAGGAUAAAAGGGAGGCAAUUGUAUAGAGCAACGCAGGAAGCAGAACUGGGUGUUCAGCAUCUAGGUUGGUACCGUUGCCUUUGCCCAGGGAGGGGGCGGUGUGUGCAGCUGGGGGUCUCCCAGCACUUACAGAACCAGUUUGCCGAGCCCCCUUACGAACUCCGCCGCCAGCUGAGAUGCACCCCUUUGUCAGAGUUCUGCGUUCCUGCCCCUCUCCCAGGCUUCCAAGUUUUAAUAUUUUUAGCUUCUUUCCUUUCCUCCUCCAGCCCUAGGGAGAGGGGCGGCUUUCUGUAAUUGUUGGAGAACUCUUGUUUUGCCUUUUCAGUGCUUCAGUUGCUGGGUGUGGUGGGCAGAAUAAUUGUCCCCCAAAGAUAUCCAUGACCUAAUCCCCAGAGCCUUGAAUAAGUCGCCUUACAUGGCACAAGGGACUCUGUAGACGUGAUUACGUUAAGGACUUGCGAUGGGGAGACUAUCCUGGGUUAUCUGGGUGGGCCCCAUCUUCAUCACAAGGGUCCUUAAAAGCGGCAGUCGGAAACAGAAGAAAAUCAGAGGGAGAUGUGACGAGGGGGAGUGGCCUGAGAGAUAGGGGGCGGGACCGAAAACCUGUAGAGGCUGCAAGAGGCAAAGAAAUGGGUUCAGCCCUAUAGAGCUUCCAGAAAUGACCUCUGUGUCAGAUUUCUAACCUUCGGAACUGAAAGAUGAUGAAUGUGUGCUGUUUUUAGCCACUAAACUUGCGAUAGCUUGCUAUAGCAGCAAUAGAAAACACACACCCUGGUUAACACUUCUAUGUGAAAUUCUCUGUUCUUGUAACAGGUGAUCAUCCUCCCUGGGACCUCUUGCAGGGUGUUCUUACCAGAGCUGGGAAGAAAAUAAUAAGGAAGCCCUCGGGGGCAAAGAGGCAGCCUAGUAGCUCUGCGCUGGAGGCCAAGACAGAAAGGAUCUCCAUGGCCCCGCUGACCUUCCCCUUGGUGCUGUGAUGGACGAGGAGGGAGGUGACCCAGACAUUGCGGGGCACCGGCAUGCUUGAACUUGGCUUCAUUGACGGGGUCAGGCAGACUCCUGGCCAGGAGAGCCCCAGCGGUGCUCCCUGGGGCCACGGAGCCUAGAUAUCCCUGGACACCGUAGAAGGCAGUGACAGAGCCCUUACUGCAUCCAGCGCAGAUGAAGUGUGCAGGUGCUUUUGUUGGGAAGGCAGUGAAGAAUAAGGAACAGGGGAAACACAGGAAAAGGUAGGUGGGCAGGAUGUAGCUGAGAGUUGGUCGUUGGCCUUGACCAAGGGAAAGUCUUGGUCCUUCACAGAGACCACAAGGACCGCAGCCAGGGGGACAGAGAAGCAUAGAUCUGUGGGGGCCAGAGCCGUCCCUGUGGGGUCUUGAUAAACCAGGAAAGCCGCUUUCUUUGGGAGAUGGUGGUCUUGAUCUGGGUUUGAGUCCUGAUGGGAUGAUAUGACAUUUGUCCCUGAUUUUAGUUGAUCAGGGACAAGCUGAUCAACUAGUGAUCAGUGAUACUUCCUCGGCUCUCGAAGACAUUCAGGGCAGCCUCAGCUCACUGGCUGGGUUGGUCUGGAUGGUGGAAUCUCCCUGGCCUUCUUCCUUGCAGGCUAAGACGGUGUCUGAGGUUGCUAAGGGAUUCUGCCAAGCCCGGAUUAAUACCCUCGGGCCAAGAACAGUCAAUACAGAAACUUCAGGAGAGAGCCGCCUGCUUUCUUAGUUCUGUACAGUCUCUGGGGAUGGUAGGAUCUGAAUGAGGUCGCUGUCAUGAAGAUGGGGCACGGACGACCCGUCACUGAAGCCUCUCAAGGUACAAACGUCCCGUCACGUUUGUUUGUUAACUACAGGCAGAGGAGCUGCUGAACACCUGGAGGUGGGAAGGUUGUGGGAAGCUUCCAGAAACAUCACACCCUUGUAACGCCCUUUACUUUAGAGGCGUUUCCAAAUGGAAACAUUUGGACAAUUAUGAAACACUGAAAGCUUCCUGGUCAGGAAGCGGUCUUGUAGAAGGGGGAAGCCUCUGAGGCUUAGCAACUAACGUUAGCCCGUUUGAUGCUGACUACCUCAGACAAACUGAGCUAGCAGUCUGCUCAGAGCAGGAGGAAGUAAGCCUCGAGUGACAUCAGCGCUGCUUUGAAUGGGGUAUUAUAUUUAGGAGUUUCUCCUAAAGCAGGGUGCUUGUGCUAUAGGCAAACGCGCCAUUCAUUCAUCCACCGGAUACGUUUUGUGUCUUAUAACAUAUUGUGAGUGUUGUUCCAGACCCUAGGGCUGUACCGGAUGCCAAGGCAGCCCAAGUUUCUGCCUUCCCAUUUCAGGCUCUGAGCCCCGCUGAGGUGGGUCCCGGCCCCUCCUGGCCCCACGCUAACUUUAUCUGCCCUUCCCCAUAGCCAGACCAUGUAGCUGGACCCUCCCUUCAAGGUCUUCUCCCACUGCAUUUCUCAAGUUCUCCCAGAGCUGGCCUCCAGCCCAGCAGGUGCUUUAUCCUGGUGGCCCGUUCCUACAUCAGAGAGAGGAGACCGUGUCUCCUCACCUCCAGCGAGUCAAGUUUCCCAAAGAGCAACAAUUAGGACUGUUCAGACCUCGGAGAAGACACCACGCCAAUGGGACAGAACGAAGCCGAUGGGCUUCAAGGGGUGAGACAUCUUCUAAGGCUCUUUUUUGACCUUGAACAAAGGAAUCCUGUGUUAUACAUCAGUUAUUUUCCAGGAACUAAACCAGGUUCCAAAGAAGCAUGUGUUUUUAGGGGCGCCUGGGUGGCUCAGUCAAUUAAGCGUCCGACUCUUGAUUUCAGCUCAGGUCAUGACCUCACAGUUCAUGGGUUCAAGCCCCGAGUUAGGCUCUGCGUUCACAGUGUGGGCCCUGCUUGGGAUUCUUUCUUUCUCUUUCUCUCUGCCCCUUCCUUGCUCAUGCUUGCUCUCUCUCUCUCUAAAGUAAAUAAAUAAACAUAAAAAAAAAAUGUGUUUUUUUUUCUGGAAGAGAAUUCCAGCAGAGCCUUAAGAAUGAUGGGUUACAUCCGUACAAGUGGACGUGAACAUUUUACUUUAUGUAUCAGUCCUAUGAGAGCGAUUUCAUGCUGCUUGGAUUUAUGCGCCUUACAAAAAAAGCAUCUAAAACAUUUGUAAGCAAAACAUACCAAUCAAUAAAAAUCUCUUCAGUACA